ensembl:lncRNA
GCAGGAAGAAGCAAACAUUGAUGAUUUGUAUGUAGGUUACUGCAACGCUGGCUUCUGGUGCAGGGAGGGGGCGUUCUCUCCCAGUCCUGUGGACGGCCUCUCAGGCUUUCCGUGUCCUGCUGGACAAUACUGCCCCUCAGGUACCCCUGCCCCGGUGCCCUGUCCUUUGGGUACCUGGUCUAACAGUACUGGCCUGGCGAACCAGGAAGAGUGCCGACCCUGCCCUGGAGGACUCUACUGUGACUCUAUCAGCCUCACCACUCCUACUGGGUCUUGCACUGGAGGAUAUUAUUGUCUUGAGAGAGCAGUGACACCCACUCCCGCUGAUGGCCCUACAGGCGGACCCUGUCUAGAGGGUCACUAUUGUCCCAUAGGAACCACUCAGCCAUUGUCCUGUGAUCCAGGGACGUAUAUGAUUGUAACACAUGCAACUCAAUGUGAGCCCUGUUCCCCUGGCUGGUACUGUGUGACAGGCACCCUGCAACUGUGUCCUGCAGGUUUUUACUGUCCCGAGGGAACGGGAUAUGACUUGAGAGCUUGUCCGGAGGGCACAUACAGCACUGAGCUGGGCUUGACAUCCAUCAGCCAGUGCAGGCAGUGUGACGGUGGCCAUUACUGUCCACUUAGGAAUGGCACCUCAGUCACAGGACAGUGCCUGGAGGGGUAUUACUGCUCCUACGGAAACACCUCUCCACAGCCUUCCUCUCACUCUGCAGGUGGAGGACCAUGCCCUGCAGGUCACUACUGCCCUAGAGGCACCAUCGAUCCUCAACCUUGCCCCAUUGGCACAUUCAGCAACCUGACCAAACUAGUCUCCCAGAACGGCUGCCGGCACUGCUCCCCAGGUUAUUACUGUGACGCGUCUGGGCUAACAGCGCCUACAGGGGAAUGCUGGGAAGGUUUUUAUUGUCGCCGUGGAGCAGUUUUCCCCAACAGCCCUAUCAGAGACAGCCGAGGAGGGCCGUGUCCACGAGGUUAUUUUUGCUCUAAGGGUUCGUCAGCUCCGCGAGAGUGUCCCCAGGGAGCCGUCAGUUUAGAAGAGGGUCGAUCCAGCUGUAGCCCCUGUCCCCAGGGUUAUUACUGUCCUGGCAACAGCUCCCUCCAUGAAACCAAUGAGUGCCCUGUGGGUCAUUACUGCCCAAAUGGCACCUCCUCUCAGUACCAGUACCCAUGCCCUGCUGGGACCAGCAACCCACACACUAGGAUGGGCAGUCCACAGGACUGCCUGCCAUGCCCCCCAGGGUUUUUCUGUGCCUUUCCUGGACUGAGUGCCGUAUCGGGCCAAUGCAUCGCUGGCUAUCUUUGCCACUCUGGAGCAGUAUCCCCGAAACCAGAAGACGGUGUGACCGGUGAGCGGUGUCCCCAAGGUCAUUACUGUCCAGAGGGCUUGGCUGCAGCGCCACGUCCCUGUCCUCUAGGAUAUUAUAGCAACACCACCAGGAACACACAACUCUCUGACUGCCUGCCCUGCCCUGCAGGGUUCAUUUGUGCCAGCAGAGGGCUCUCCAUCCCUUCUCAUCUCUGCCAGGCUGGCUCCUACUGCCCUUACAGACACAACUCCAGCCUCCCUGGCUCUAUCACCUGCUCAGCUGGGCAUAUGUGCCCACUUGGCAGUGCCAUCCAGGUUCCCUGUGUGCCAGGGACUUACCAGGAUCAAUCUGGGCAGGCAGAGUGUUUUACCUGUCCAGCAGGGUUUUACUGUGCAGGCUCAGUACAUCCUAACACAGAACAGGGGGUGGGAACACACAUGCCAACCCCUUGUCUGAAGGGACACUACUGCCCCCCAGGCACACGGUCUGGUGUGGAGUACCCAUGCCCAGCUGGCACGUUUAGUGGGCAGACCAGCACAUCUAAUAAGAGUGGGUGUGUGCCCUGCCCUCCAGGGAAGUACUGCAGCUCUGCAGGGUUGGCAGCGCCUACUGGGCAAUGCUCUCCUGGGUACCUUUGUAUCCGAGGCUCUGUUACUUCUCAGCCAGCUGGAGAUCCUACAGGUGGAAAAUGCAUCGCUGGGUCCUACUGCCCACUGGGUACCAGUCACAUGCUUCUAUGCCCGCCUGGUACUUUCAGCUCUUUAGAAGGGGCAGUAUCUGUGGCUGCGUGCCAGCCCUGUGUGCCUGGGCAGUACUGUGCAGACUUUGGCCUUGCCUCCCCAUCUGGUCCCUGCAGCGCUGGGUUCUACUGCCCAAUAGGAUCCAGAACCCCCAUGCCAAAUCAUAAUGCAACAAGUAAUAAUGAACCAAGAAAUGCAACUUCUGUAUAUCCUCCUCGUGAUGGAGAGGUCUUGGAACAGAUCAAUGGAGACCUGUGUCCAGGAGGCCACUACUGUCCGAUUGGGACAGCUCAGCCAAUACCCUGCCCCCCAGGCACCUUUCUGGGUGGAUAUGGUGGUCAAUCAGAGGCAGACUGUGAGGCUUGUCCGUCUGGAUUCUACUGCCCUGUGUGGGGGCAGACCACCACAGACCUCCACUGUCCCCAGGGUUGGUUCUGUCCAGUAGGCGCUGUAUCAGGGCAUCAACCAGAAUGUCAGUGCCCGUCUGGUCAUUCGUGCCCGUAUGGAAGUGCCAAGCCUGUCAUCUGUGCCCCUGGCACCUAUCAGUCUUUGACUGGUCAGUCUACAUGCAAGACCUGCCCACCAGGUUUUUAUUGUGUGGAGGGAACCUCUGUCCCAACACCAUGCCCAGCUGGCAGUGUGAGUCAGGCUGAGGGGAGAGCAUCUCAGAGGGAGUGUUCUCCAUGCCCUCCUGGGCUCUACUGCAACAGCAGUGCUCUCACCUCUCCCUCAGGACCCUGCUCUCCAGGCCACUUCUGUUCCCGUGGAGCUACUGUUCCUGAUCCAGUCUCCCAGACCUUUGGGGAUGUCUGCCCUCUAGGACACUACUGCCCAGAGGGUAGUGGGUCGCCCACACCCUGUUCUGUGGGUAGCUACCUUCCAGAGAGGGGUGCUCCAUCCCCCUCCCGCUGCUACCCUUGUCCCCCAGGAAGAUACUGCCUCAACCCAGGCUCCUCACAAUUCACAGGUCCUUGCUCCCCUGGUUUCUACUGUAGUGGCGGUGCAGACAGUGCUAUACCCCAGGCUAACUCCUCCCAGCUCAGCUGCCUUUGUGGCAUGAUAAAGGUCCAUCCUACUAACCAAGAUCUUUGUUCCUGGUUACACAACACUUCCUGCUCACCUAACAGUAUAGAUACAGGUAAGGCAAUGUAUAUUUGA